rnacentral:SRP_RNA from 1 species
UUAAGUAAGUGGUGUUGACGUUUGGGUCCUGCGCAACGGGACCCCGUGAACCUUGUCAGGUCCGGAAGGAAGCAGCAAUAAGCGGGUCUUCUCGUGUGCCGCAGGAGUGCCUGAACCGAGCUAACUGCUUGAGUAACGCUUAUGGUACGUAAUCGACAGAAGGUGCACGG